GAUGAACGCUAGCGGCAGGCCUAAUACAUGCAAGUCGAGGGGCAGCAGGAAUAGCAAUAUUCGCUGGCGACCGGCGCACGGGUGCGUAACACGUAUACAAUCUGCCUUUAACAGGGGGAUAGCCCGGGGAAAUCCGGAUUAAUACCCCAUAACAGUGAUCUUGGCAUCAAGGACACUUAAAAGCUCCGGCGGUUAAAGAUGAGUAUGCGUCUGAUUAGCUAGUUGGUGAGGUAAUGGCUCACCAAGGCGACGAUCAGUAGGGGAUCUGAGAGGAUUAAACCCCACACGGAUACUGAGACACGGAUCCGACUCCUACGGGAGGCAGCAGUAAGGAAUAUUGGACAAUGCCCGCAAGGGUGAUCCAGCCAUGCCGCGUGCAGGAAGACGGCCCUAUGGGUUGUAAACUGCUUUUACACCGGAGAAAACCCCACUACGUGUAGUGGGCUGAUAGUAUGGUGAGAAUAAGCAUCGGCUAACUUCGUGCCAGCCGCCGCAGUAA
rnacentral:rRNA from 1 species